UCGUGAGGCAAAGGUUGUAAGUUCUGCUCAGCGCGGUACAAUGGCGCCGCUUGUCACAUGGCAAGCGGCGUAGUGGUGGCCCUACCGGUCCCCCCGCAACGGUUACCCGUUAACCUGGUCAGGCCCGGAAGGGAGCAGCCAUGGCGGGAACAUCGUGUGCCGGGGUGCGGCUGGUGGGGCUGCCUCCAUUACGCAGGUCCUUGAGUUCUCGG
rnacentral:SRP_RNA from 1 species